CCUACGGGAGGCAGCAGUGGGGGAUAUUGCACAAUGGGGGAAACCCUGAUGCAGCAACGCCGCGUGAGUGAAGAAGUAUUUCGGUAUGUAAAGCUCUAUCAGCAGGGAAGAGAAUGACGGUACCUGACUAAUAAGCCCCGGCUAACUCCGUGCCAGCAGCCGCGGUAAUACGUAGGGGGCGAGCGUUACCCGGAUUUACUGGGUGUAAAGGGAGCGUAGACGGGUGGUUAAGUCUGAAGUGAAAGCCCGGAGCUUAACCCCGGAACGGCUUUGGAAACUGAGAAGCUAGAGUGCGGGAGAGGUAGGCGGAAUUCCUGGUGUAGGGGUGAAAUGCGUAGAUAUUAGGAGGAACACCAGUGGCGAAGGCGACUUGCUGGACAGUAACUGACGUUGAGGCUCGAAAGCGUGGGGAGCAAACAGGAUUAGAUACCCCAGUAGUC
rnacentral:rRNA from 1 species